UGAGGAAUAUUGGUCAAUGGACGAGAGUCUGAACCAGCCAAGUAGCGUGCAGGAUGACGGCCCUAUGGGUUGUAAACUGCUUUUAUAAGGGAAUAAAGUGAGAGUCGUGACUCUUUUUGCAUGUACCUUAUGAAUAAGGACCGGCUAAUUCCGUGCCAGCAGCCGCGGUAAUACGGAAGGUCCGGGCGUUAUCCGGAUUUAUUGGGUUUAAAGGGAGCGUAGGCCGGAGAUUAAGCGUGUUGUGAAAUGUAGUGGCUCAACCUCUGCACUGCAGCGCGAACUGG
rnacentral:rRNA from 1 species